CCGGAUGACCAUUAUUCCAGUGAGGAGGGGGUUUUAGCGGGGCCACGUCAUCAACAGGAAGUGAGAGACCAGUGGGCGGGGCUCACACCUUUGGGGAAGAAGAAAGCAGAAGAGAGCCCACCCCGCCACCCCCACCAUCUUUACUAAGAGCAGAAACAAAUGGAAAAUAUAGGAAUUGGAAAUAAACCAUUAUGUCGGCACUGGACCCUAAGACAGAGCUCUCCAUAAGAAGUGAGACCAGCAACAGAAAAGCUGCCCAGCCGGUGUCGGAGCCCCGAAGGACACGGAGGAAGUGCAGAAGUCCAUGAAAUAGAGUUGAGGACAGGAGUGAAUUACUGAGGGGAGGCUCCUGGCUUCUUUCAUCCUCCCGCUGUUGGUGCCUCCCUCAGUCCAAACCGAAGGUUUGGGCAGAAGCUCUCAAAUUGAUGGGUGCAGGAGCAUAGCUCAUCCAAUGAAAAUAAGAACUAUAGUUGGGAGAAAUAUUGAAAAGGACAGAAGUGGAGCAAGUGGAGAAGAAAAUGAUGAGAGUAAUGCCGAGGGAAGGCAGCAGCGUGUUUAACAUCACAAGAUCAGAGGGAGCCCAGAAGCAGAACCUGGAAAAAUCCUUUCACAGCAUGCAAUAUAGAACAAAAAUCCCAGAAAACUCAAAUACUACUAUUAUCAUGUUUCAAAACAAGAAAGCUAAGAAAGGUGACAAAAGGACCCAAGAAAGGAUAGCACAUACUUUCAGCCACCUGUGUGUCGGGUAGAAAGUUUUCAUCAGAACCCUUUAAUUCUUUCUUUUGAUGUAUAAGCCCAAUCAAGACAAUAAUAUGUCCU